rnacentral:rRNA from 1 species
UGGGGAAUAUUGGACAAUGGGCGCAAGCCUGAUCCAGCCAUGCCGCGUGAGUGAUGAAGGCCUUAGGGUUGUAAAGCUCUUUUGGCGGGGACGAUAAUGACGGUACCCGCAGAAUAAGCCCCGGCUAACUUCGUGCCAGCAGCCGCGGUAAUACGAAGGGGGCGAGCAUUGUUCGGAAUUACUGGGCGUAAAGGGUGCGUAGGCGGAUAUUUAAGUCAGAUGUGAAAGCCCAGGGCUCAACCCUGGAACUGCAUUUGAUACUAUUUAUCUUGAAUAGUGAAGAGGAGAGUAGAAUUCCCAGUGUAGAGGUGAAAUUCGUAGAGAUUGGGAAGAAUACCAGUGGCGUAGGCGACUCUCUGGUCACAUAUUGUCGCUGAGGCACGAAAGCGUGGGGAGCAAACAG